ensembl:lncRNA
ACACCAAGUGUUCAGAUCCUGACUCAACCUUCUACAGACCAAGAAGCAAGCGAGAGAUCCACUUCAUCCUUCCAACAGACACCAAGUGUUCAGAUCCUGACUCAACCUUCUACAGACUAAGAAGCAAGCGAGAGAUCCACUUCAUCCUUCCAACAGACACCAAGUGUUCAGAUCCUGACUCAACCUUCUGCAGACCAAGAAGUGAGCAAGAGAUCCACUUCAUCCUUCCAACAGGUAAUUACACAUUAAUUUAUUCUAUUUGGAAUUAAGUAGAUGUCUCAGUUGGCUCCAUUACAUACAUAAAAUGCCCUUUCACUGUAUUAAAGCAAUCAGUUUGUGUGAAAUGUUCACAAUAUCAAUAUUGGCAUCACCUGUUUUUGAAUAGCGUAGCAGAAAGAAAUUGGCUAUACCAUUUGUUGGCACUAACUUCCCCUGAAAGCAUCAAAUUGAUCUUUAUUCUCACAAAAUUCUUUAUUUUUAGUCCUUUUUGCUGAUGUUUUUGUCCAUGUUACAUCUGCUGAUCAGUUUACAUGAUUGGAUUUCGGGGGAUGUAGAUCAUUUCACAUCAGUGUGGGGUUUAGAGCUUUCUUUGACAACAACAGAAGAUGUUAGAAGUCAGGAACAUGGACUCUAUAUGUGUUCAGUCGUCAUGUCCCCAUAUUGUUUUAGGCUGUGAAAGACAUAAGUGUGUUUCAGGUGAUGUCCCCAUAUUGUCUGAACCAUCGACUGUAGAGUGUGUGUUACGUGUCCUCAUAAUGUUGGGUAGCAGAUGCUGUACAGUGUUAGCAGUUUCUAUAGAGUUUGGCAUAAUGAGCCUAGAUCCUCCUGUGAAUUAUGUUUACUGAAACAAGUAUAAUAAUUUGUUUAUUAAUUAGUCAGGAUUUAUAGUAGAGAAUAUGUCUGACACUGUAUUGUUGUGUUUUGUUGCAGACACCAAGUGUUCAGAUCCUGACUCAACUUUCUGCAGACCAAGAAGUGAGCAUGAGAUCCACUUCAUCCUUCCAACAGACACCAAGUGUUCAGAUCCUGACUCAACCUUCUGUAGACCAAGAAGCGAGCGAGAGAUCCACUUCAUCCUUCCAACAGACACCAAGUGUUCAGAUCCUGACUCAACCUUCUGUAGACCAAGAAGCGAGCGAGAGAUCCACUUCAUCCUUCCAACAGGUAAUUACACAUUAAUUUGUUCCAUUUGGAAUUAAGUAGAUGUCUCAUUUGGCUCCAUUGCAUACAUGAAAUGCCCCUUCACUGUAUUAAAACAAUCAGUUUGUGUGAAAUGUUCACAAUAUCAAUAUUAACAUCACCUGUUUUUGAAUAGCGUAGCAGAAAGAAAUUGGCUAUACCAUUUGUUAGCUCUAACUUCCCCUUAAAGCAUCAAAUUAAUCUUUAUUCUCACAAAAUUCUUUAUUUUUAGUCCUUUUUGCUGAUAUUUUUGUCCAUCUUACAUCUGCUGAUUAGUUUGCAUGAUUGGAUUUCUGGGGAUGCAGAUCAUUUCACAUCAGUGUAGGGUUUAGAUCUUUCUUUGACAACAACAGAAGAUGUUUGAAGUCAGGAACAUGGACUCUAUAUGUGUUCAGUCGUCAUGUCCCCAUAUUGUUUUAGGCUGUGAAAGACUUGAGUGUGUUUCAGUUGAUGUCCCCAUAUUGUCUGACCCAACGACUGUAGAGAGUGUGUACCAUGUCCCCAUAUUGUUAUAGGCUGUGAAAGACUGAGUGUGUUUCAGUUGAUGUCCCCAUAUUGUCUGACCCAACGACUGUAGAGAGUGUGUACCAUGUCCUCAUAUUGUUAUAGGCUGUGAAAGACUGAGUGUGUUUCAGGUGAUGUCCCCAUAUUGUCUGACCCAUCGACUGUAGAGAGUGUGUACCAUGUCCUCAUAUUGUUAUAGGCUGUGAAAGACUGAGUGUGUUUCAGGUGAUGUCCCCAUAUUGUCUGACCCAACGACUGUAGAGAGUGUGUACCAUGUCCUCAUAUUGUUAUAGGCUCUGAAAGACUGAGUGUGUUUCAGGUGAUGUCCCCAUAUUGUCCGACCCAACGACUGUAGAGUGUGUGUUACAUGUCCUCAUAUUGUUGGGUAGCAGAUGAUGAACAGUGUUAGCAGUUUCUAUAGAGUUUGGCAUAAUGCGCAUAGAUCAUACUGUGAAUUAUGUUCACUGAAGCAAGUAUGAUCAUUUGUCUAUUAAUUAGUCAGGAUUUAUAGUAGAGAAUAUGUCUGACUCUGUAUUGUUGUGUUUUGUUGCAGACAUCAAGCGUUCAGAUCCUUACUCAACUUUCUGCAGACCAAGAUAUGAGCAAGAGAUCCACUUCAUCUUUCCAACAGGUAAUUACACAUUAAUUUAUUCUAUUUGGAAUUAAGUAGAUAUCUCAGUUGGCCCCCGUGCAUACAUGAAAUGCCCUUUCACUGUAUCGAAACAAUCAGUUUUUUUUUUUAAAUGUUCACAAUAUCAUCGAUAUCACCAUUGGAUUUCUGGGGAAGUAGAUCAAUUUACAUCAGUGUAGGGUUUAGAGCUUUCUUUGACAACAACAGAAGAAGUUAGAACCACUAUUAUUUCUAUUUUUGCUAUAAUUAAUUGCAUCAUAAUUUUUAGUUACAGUUCUGUGUAAUCUCAAACAAAUAAUGAAUCUCUGUCAUUUCAAUUAAGGUCAGCCAGACCACUGGAGGUGUCUCCUUCCACCAGACAGCUACUGCAAGGCAAGUAAGACAGCUGCCUUCUUCUCCUUCAUUCAAAAAUGUUAUGUUCUUUUACUGAGGAUAUUCACUAUUUGAGGAAAUAUUGUAUAAACUUAACUAGGACUAAGGUUUUUUACAUUUAAUUCUUGAUAUGGACAGUCAAGAGCAAGCCGCCAUCUGCAAAAUCUAAAGCGGCAUCAUGCUCGGUGUGAGGAACGUUACGAUGAGGCCAAGAAAAAGAUAUUUGAGAGAGAGAGGCAGAUGAUUUUGAGUCUGUUAACCAGAAUGAAUAAUUCUGUGAGUACGCAAAUAGGUCAUACGGUCAUAUGCAAAUUAAUUCUUUUCAAGGUAUUCAUUUUACAAGAACCUCCAUGGGCCUAGCAGAUUUUUUCUCAUUCACUUGUUGUUUCCAGUUCAUGCACCAUGUUUGAAAGACAAAGUUGCAACAGAUUUUUUCUCUCAAAAUAUUAGUUAUACUUCUAUGCGAUAGGUGAGUCAUAGUAACGAAAAUUUUCAUGCUAUGCAUUGUUCUCCUUUAUAUCAUACACCAUCAACAUCAAAUCGCACACUGAGAUGUGUUGUGGUUUAGGGAUUAUUGUCUUAAUAGUAUGUCAUCAUAGGUAGGUAUGUGAGGCAAAAUAUUUUCAAAGUGUUAUUUAAAUCAUUUAAACAUUUCCACUUUAAUAUAAGUGGGGUGAAAAUGUCUAUUCAGUCAAUUGUAUUUACAGUAUUAAUAAUGGUUUUAAAGGUUGAACAUCCCUUGGUCGAUGAUGGUGGAUUUCAUGAUGGAAACUCUGCAAGCUUAAGUGACCAGGUAAUGUAUACGACACAGUAGUGAAUGUAUUAGGAAUCCAAUGCAAUUCAAUUUCAUGUUUUUAAUGACUCAUCUCUUACAAGUCAUCACUUACAAUAUGUGAUGGUACUGUAUGGGGAAUGAUAACCUGGCUUUUUUCUCCUUUUUCCUUCAGAUCUCUACUGAUGAAUCUUCAGAUUGUACAGAUUAUGAAGAUAUUGACUAUGUUCCAGACUCAGGUGGCAAUUCCUCAGACACAAGUCUCUGUAGUAACGAACUGAGAAUCACAGAAUCUCUUGCUCCCAAAAAUUGUUCAAGGACAUGCCAGUGGGGAUAGCUACAGUACACAGUGGGGAGAGAAACCUACAAGUUUAAGUUUGUCACUGAGAAGCAGCAGUCAUAGCACUUCAGUGAUGAGUUGCAGUAACAAUUCCCUGGAGGCAAGAUUUCUGUAUUUUCUGUUCUGUUUCAAUUGACAUAUUUUGCCAGCAAUUAAAAAAGAAAAAAUGGCAGAAAGUGUUCCAUGUCUUUAUUCACAUGAACAUGUACUACAAAAUUUAUAAAUGCAAUACAAUAAGACUUAAAAAGCAGACUGACCACAUUUUUUAGCUAUGUCUCAUUUUAAGUCUCUACAAAGCUUAGUUUUACUGUGUUGUAUUAACAUGUGAAUAUCUGACAUUUCUGUCAGAGGUUACCUGACUGAUGAGCAUGACUAUUGUACACCUGUGUCUAUUAUAUAGGUAUUUCAAACAUAUCCAACAGGAGCCAAGGUAAUAAUACAGACCCUACCCUUUCCUAGUCUUUAUAAGUCAUGUAUACAUGAAAAUUUUGUGUGUAUCCAUGGGUUUCACAAUUCACCUAAACAUGAAAUAUCAGUGUGUGAUUUUAUUGCACCUAUAAGUCACAUAAACCUGACAGUGUCCUCACAAGUAGCAUUAAAAUCAGGUUUGACCAAAAGUUUGCCCUAGCCAAAAUCUCAACAGAUGGGCAUAUUCCUGGAAGCAUGGGGAAGAAACACUUUGAUUCCCCAGCCUCUAGGACCUUGGGAAAGGCAUGUUCCCAUUUUUCACAUUUUUGUCUUAUGUACCGAUAUGUCCCGAAAACACGUAUGUGUGUGUGUGUGUGUGUGUGUGUGUUUCUCCAUGCUCCUUCACACCUUGCUUUCAUUAGUAAUUUGGUUGUUAACAGAGCUUAUGUUCUGAUGUGUGUGUGUGUGUGUGUGUGUGUGUGUGGAGUGAGUUCGUGAAGUUUUUUACCUACAUGUAAAUCAGUUUGUGGUUGCAUAACAAAUCUAAAAUGAUACAGUAUUUUCAGUUUCAGGUUGAGUUUCGUCAGUAUCAGAUUUCUACCUU